UACGGGGGGGGCAAGCGUUGUUCGGAAUUACUGGGCGUAAAGGGCUCGUAGGCGGCCAACUAAGUCGGAUGUGAAAUCCCCAGGCUCAACCUGGGAACUGCAUCCGAUACUGGAUGGCUUGAAUCCGGGAGAGGGAUGCAGAAUUCCAGGUGUAGCGGUGAAAUGCAUAGAUAUCUGGAGGAAUACCGGUGGCGAAGGCGGCAUCCUGGACCGGCAUUGACGCUGAGGAGCGAAAGCUAGGGGAGCAAACGGG
rnacentral:rRNA from 1 species